ensembl:lncRNA
GUGGGAACAGGUGAGCCCUUUCAAAGCCAGCAAGGGCACAGUGAUUAGGCAGGCAGCUGUCCAUGAUAACCUUCCUGAUAACCCGGAUGUAUCCCCACUACUCCAACUUAACACACCCUGCACAGGACAAUAUCAUCACAAAAAAAUCUUCAAAAAUGGUUCUCUCACCAAAAACCAUGGGGCUAUUGGAUUUCAAGCAUAAUUUGGGCAGAUCUGGCCUCAGGCUCUCGUGGCAUCUGCAGCGGUUCAUUCUUCAAGAUGGAAGAGAGGAAGGAAGGAAGGCUGAAGAAUCGCUGAGCAGACGCGUAACGCAGAGCACACACUCUCCCAAAGGAAAGAUAAGACUGCUCUGGGACAGUGCGCUGGAGGGAGUCCUGUCCUUUGACGAAAAGCUGUUUUGUAAAUGGAUCUGCUCUUAUCAAGCGUGAAGAAUUUCAGAGCCACCUUUGUUUCACUACUGCUGGCUUAUGCUCAGAAUCCACUGAGUGUGCCCUCGAAAUCAAAUUAAAGGCCAUAAUGCAUGAGCUGACAUGUUUUUCAGCAAAGUUCAAUUAUAGUCACUGAUCACACAUUACACAGACAGGAGAUGUUUUUAAAUUAUCAUUUAACCUAAUGAAUAAAGUUUAUGUUUAUUAUCCA